GGUACGCUGGAAAAUUACUGGUGAAGGAC
rnacentral:sRNA from 1 species